UAGGAGGAAGCCGAAAAUCCAAUAAUAGAGUAGGUA
rnacentral:ncRNA from 1 species